UUUUUCUCUCUUUGAUUGUCCUUUUUUGACUCACUCCUUCUCGAGAAGGCGAAGUUUCUCUUCUCUCUAGACUAAAUGUUGAUUCUCUUUCGUGUGAUCCUCCAUAAGAUAAAACCAUCUUUGACAAAGACAAGUUUCUACACUUAUUUUUGUAGAUAGGACAGUUGAGAGGAGAUGCUCAAACUAAUGCUGCUUAUAUAAUCAAGGUGGAACUGCUGGCUGCUAAGAAUCUCAUUGGU